rnacentral:misc_RNA from 1 species
GAUGAAGAACGCAGCGAAAUGCGAUAAGUAAUGUGAAUUGCAGAAUUCAGUGAACCAUCGAAUCUUUGAACGCACAUUGCGCCCGGCAGUAAUCUGCCGGGCAUGCCUGUCCGAGCGUCAUUUCUGCCCUCGAGCGAGUCCAGCAUCUAGGUGCUGGGCCCGCCCGGCGUUGGGGCACUACGGGAAGCCCUGUGCUGUCCCCCGUAGGCCCCGAAAUGAAGUGGCGGUCCUGCCGCGGCGCCCCCUGCGUAGUAUAACAGCUCGCUUCGGGACCCGGUGGAGGCCUGCCGUCAAACCUUACUCUCUAAGUUUGACCUCGGAUUAGGUAGGGUUACCCGCUGAACUUAAGCAUAUCAAUAAGCGGAGGA